rnacentral:rRNA from 1 species
GACGAACGCUGGCGGCGUGCUUAACACAUGCAAGUCGAACGGAAAGGCCAUGCUUUUGUGGGGUGCUCGAGUGGCGAACGGGUGAGUAACAAGUGAGUAACCUGCCCUUGACUUUGGGAUAACUUCAGGAAACUGGGGCUAAUACCGGAUAGGAGCUCCUGCUGCAUGGUGGGGGUUGGAAAGUUUCGGCGGUUGGGGAUGGACUCGCGGCUUAUCAGCUUGUUGGUGGGGUAGUGGCUUACCAAGGCUUUGACGGGUAGCCGGCCUGAGAGGGUGACCGGCCACAUUGGGACUGAGAUACGGCCCAGACUCCUACGGGAGGCAGCAGUGGGGAAUAUUGCACAAUGGGCGGAAGCCUGAUGCAGCAACGCCGCGUGCGGGAUGACGGCCUUCGGGUUGUAAACCGCUUUCGCCUGUGACGAAGCGUGAGUGACGGUAAUGGGUAAAGAAGCACCGGCUAACUACGUG